GAUGAACGCUGGCGGCGUGCCUAAUACAUGCAAGUCGAGCGAACGGACGAGAAGCUUGCUUCUCUGAUGUUAGCGGCGGACGGGUGAGUAACACGUGGAUAACCUACCUAUAAGACUGGGAUAACUUCGGGAAACCGGAGCUAAUACCGGAUAAUAUUUUGAACCGCAUGGUUCAAAAGUGAAAGACGGUCUUGCUGUCACUUAUAGAUGGAUCCGCGCUGCAUUAGCUAGUUGGUAAGGUAACGGCUUACCAAGGCAACGAUGCAUAGCCGACCUGAGAGGGUGAUCGGCCACACUGGAACUGAGACACGGUACAGACUCCUACGGGAGGCAGCAGUAGGGAAUCUUCCGCAAUGGGCGAAAGCCUGACGGAGCAACGCAGCGUGAGUGAUGAAGGUCUUCGGAUCGUAAAACUCUGUUAUUAGGGAAGAACAUAUGUGUAAGUAACUGUGCACAUCUUGACGGUACCUAAUCAGAAAGCCACGGCUAACUACGU
rnacentral:rRNA from 1 species